AAGUCGUAACAAGGUUUCCGUAGGUGAACCUGCGGAAGGAUCAUUAAAGAUUGGCCGAAAGGCCUUAUCCUUAUAUCCCUCACCUCUGUGAACUGUGGACCCUCGGGUCCGUUUUAACAAACAUCAGUGUAAUGAACGUAUCAAUAUAUAACAAAACAAAACUUUCAACAACGGAUCUCUUGGCUCUC
rnacentral:misc_RNA from 1 species